GCGUCAUUGGUCUAGGGGUUAGGAUUCAACUCUUCCAUGUGUCUUCAUGAAAAGUUGAGGCCCGGAUUCGAGUUCCGGAUGACGCA
rnacentral:tRNA from 1 species